AUGAGCAACCAACAAACCAUGACGGCAUCUUCAGGGCGUGUGCUGUCCGGAUCUUGCGAGACCACAUCGGCGCGCACCGGAUCUGGGCAGAAAUUAGUCUGCCCCACCGAGCACAGGAACAGCCAGGGUCGCGCCUCCCCGAGCUGGAACAGUCGCUCGCCGGAGAAGCCGAGGGCCGCCGCAAGAUGCAGCAGCGCACAGAGGCAGGCCGGAUCGAGACAGCGCCGAAGGAAAGGAGCAGGCCAGCCCCCGACGCACCUGAGAAGGACGAGGUGGAUCUGGGCGCCAGCGCCACCCCCGAGCGCCCCUCCACCACCUAGCAGACCAUGGGCCGCGCUCGAGCAGCAGCACCUUCAUGUCGACGAUGAGGCAGGCCACCGGAGCCGGACGAGUCGAAUCCGAGCGCCCUUGCCAAAUCCGCCGCCGCGGUCACCGAGGGAGGCACGGCCGUGA
rnacentral:rRNA from 1 species